rnacentral:rRNA from 1 species
UUACUAAUACUGUCAGCGAAGUGGCGACGGGGUGAGUAAUAUAUAGGUAACGUGCCCUAGAUGAAGAGGAUAACACCUGGAAACGGUUGCUAAGACUCUAUAUGCCUUUAAGACAUAAGUCUGCAAGGGAAAUAUUUAUAGCUCUAGGAUCGGCCUGUACGGUAUCAGCUUGUUGGUGAGGUAAUGGCUCACCAAGGCAAUGACACCUAACUGGUUUGAGAGGAUGAUCAGUCACACUGGAACUGAGACACGGUCCAGACUCCUACGGGAGGCAGCAGUGGGGAAUAUUGCACAAUGGACGAAAGUCUGAUGCAGCAACGCCGCGUGGAGGAUGACACAUUUCGGUGCGUAAACUCCUUUUAUAUAGGAAGAUAAUGACGGUACUAUAUGAAUAAGCGCCGGCUAACUCCGUGCCAGCAGCCGCGGUAAUACGGAGGGCGCAUGCGUUACUCGGAAUCACUGGGCGUAAAGAGCGUGUAGGCGUGUUAAUAAGUCAGAAGUGAAAUCCAAUAGCUC